rnacentral:rRNA from 1 species
CUGGUAUUGAUUGGUGCUUGCAUCAUGAUUUACAUUUGAGUGAGUGGCGAACUGGUGAGUAACACGUGGGAAACCUGCCCAGAAGCGGGGGAUAACACCUGGAAACAGAUGCUAAUACCGCAUAACAACUUGGACCGCAUGGUCCGAGUUUGAAAGAUGGCUUCGGCUAUCACUUUUGGAUGGUCCCGCGGCGUAUUAGCUAGAUGGUGGGGUAACGGCUCACCAUGGCAAUGAUACGUAGCCGACCUGAGAGGGUAAUCGGCCACAUUGGGACUGAGACACGGCCCAAACUCCUACGGGAGGCAGCAGUAGGGAAUCUUCCACAAUGGACGAAAGUCUGAUGGAGCAACGCCGCGUGAGUGAAGAAGGGUUUCGGCUCGUAAAACUCUGUUGUUAAAGAAGAACAUAUCUGAGAGUAACUGUUCAGGUAUUGACGGUAUUUAACCAGAAAGCCACGGCUAACUACGUGCCAGCAGCCGCGGUAAUACGUAGGUGGCAAGCGUUGUCCGGAUUUAUUGGGCGUAAAGCGAGCGCAGGCGGUUUUUUAAGUCUGAUGUGAAAGCCUUCGGCUCAACCGAAGAAGUGCAUCGGAAACUGGGAAACUUGAGUGCAGAAGAGGACAGUGGAACUCCAUGUGUAGCGGUGAAAUGCGUAGAUAU